rnacentral:tRNA from 1 species
UCUAAUGUGGCAGAUUUAAUGUAAUGAAUUUAAGAUUCAUUAAUAAAUAUAAUUAUUUCUUUAGAA